rnacentral:rRNA from 1 species
GAUGAACGCUGGCGGCGUGCCUAACACAUGCAAGUCGAGCGAACAGACGAGGCGUGUGCCCCUCUUACGUUACGGACGGACGGGUGAGUAACACGUGGAUACCCUACCUAUAAGACUGGGGUCACUUCGGGAAAGCGGAGCUCACAUCGGACAAUAUAUUGAACCGCAUGGUUCAAUAGUGAAAGCGGUGUUUGCUGACCCUGAUACGUAGUAGCUAGUUGGUUUGGUAAGGGCUUACCAAGGCGGCGACCCGUAGCCGGCCUGAGAGGCUGAUCGGCCACACUGGAACUGAGACACGGUCCAGACUCCUACGGGAGGCAGCAGUAGGGAAUCUUGCGCAAUGGGCGAAAGCCUGACGGAGCAACGCCGCGUGAGUGAUGAAGGUCUUCGGAUCGUAAAACUCUUUUAGUAGGGAAGAACGAAUGUGUAAGUAACUAUGCACGUCUUGACGGUACCUAAACAAAAAGCCACGGCUAACUACGUG